rnacentral:lncRNA from 1 species
UAGUGAUCCUCCUAGAGAGACACGUGUCUCCGAGGAGACAUGGCCCCUUUCAAACAGCCACCUCAGUUCUCUUUUACUGCCCUAUCCUUUCGCCGGGUUUCUCCUUUCAACCUUGAGAGAUAACUGACAUGGGCUUAGGAUACUCAGUCAUUCUGGAAUUCUGUAUCAGCACUGAAACAUGAGUGGGGAAAUUCUAAGAAAUUUACUUCUCUUUUUCUUUUCAUAUUUUCCUCAUUCCAAAGUGGAACUAAAUCGAGGUUCCCUAGCAACCCAGGGCUCUGUGAAGAUUCAUUAUUCUAUAAAAUCCCACCACCUUACAAACACAAAAUGUUACAAGUUGCCCAGUCACCCCGGCUUCUGAGAUGAAGAAUAUUAUUGAAGUCAAAUCUGGUGGCUAUCACACUCCAUGGAACUUGGGGCAACAUUUAGGUACCUCUACCCAGGAAAGAAUCUCUGAGAAAUAGGUGGCAGUUUCUCUAGCAGCAUAAGAAGAACCUUGAUAAGCAUCAUCCUUAAGUCCUGACAGCAGUGGAUGACUAGUCAGGAACCUGUCCAGAUAAUGAUUGAUACACCUCCCAUGCCCCACCUCUCACCCAGGACAGGAUCGAAGUGUUGGGGGAGCCACAACCUGCUUCACCUAGAAAGAGGACAUUGACAUGGAUCUGCCAGCUUUCUAAGACUUUCCCCAGAUUCAAGUCCAGUCACAUCAAGUUGCCUUAUUAAAGGGUCUGCCCACUCAAAAGGAGAAAGUGCAAAAGAUGCUCAGCAAGGGUAGCAAACGCAGUCAGAUGAUACUUCCUGACAGCAUCCAAGAGCAAGUCUCACCACCACAUCUGUCAAUAAAAAAGAAAACAAGGAGCUGCCAAUUUGUCUAUUUAUAGGUGCCAAUAAAAUCCUGCACAGAACUUUAGUCAACAAGACUAUUUCAGAAGGGGUGGCCAACAGUGUGGCCUUUCACUGGCAAGGGCCACCUUUGUCAUCACUUAAGAAAGAAAACCUGCCAAGUUUUCUGUGAGGCCCUCAAUAAAUCUUACUGAGUAUUUCCAUACACAUCAGCCACCUUAACUUGAGGAAAGCCAACUUGUGGCCAGAUCCUUCACAAACACCUGGAAACUAGUGUGGCUUCUGGUUCUAGCCAUUCGGUAACAGCUCUGAGGCUGAAUAAAUUGGACGUGAGAAUGUGAC